UACAGAGGUCUCAAGCGUUGUUCGGAUUCAUUGGGCGUAAAGGGUGCGUAGGCGGCGCGGUAAGUCGGGUGUGAAAUCUCGGGGCUUAACUCCGAAACUGCAUUCGAUACUGCCGUGCUUGAGGACUGGAGAGGAGACUGGAAUUUACGGUGUAGCGGUGAAAUGCGUAGAUAUCGUAAGGAAGACCAGUGGCGAAGGCGGGUCUCUGGACAGUUCCUGACGCUGAGGCACGAAGGUCAGGGGAACAAACGGG
rnacentral:rRNA from 1 species